GAGGGUUUUCCGCCCCUUUAGUGCUGAAGUUUAACGGCAUUUAAGCACUCCCGCCUGGGGGAGUACGGCCGCAAGGCUGAAACUCAAAGGAAUUGAACGGGGCGCCCCGCACAAGCGGUGGAGCAUGUGGUUUAAUUUGAAGCAACGCGAAGAACCUUACCAGGUCUUGACAUCCUCUGACAACCCUAGAGAUAGGGCUUCUCCUUCGGGAGCAGAGUGACAGGUGGUGCAUGGUUGUCGUCAGCUCGUGUCGUGAGAUGUUGGGUUAAGUCCCGCAACGAGCGCAACCCUUGAUCUUAGUUGCCAUCAUUUAGUUGGGCACUUUAAGGUGACUGCCGGUGACAAACCGGAGGAAGGUGGGGAUGACGUCAAAUCAUCAUGCCCCUUAUGACCUGGGCUACACACGUGCUACAAUGGACGGUACAAAGAGCUGCAAGACCGCGAGGUGGAGCUAAUCUCAUAAAACCGUUCUCAGUUCGGAUUGUAGGCUGCAACUUGCCUACAUGAAGCUGGAAUCGCUAGUAAUCGCGGAUCAGCAUGCCGCGGUGAAUACGUUCCCGGGCCUUGUACACACCGCCCGUCACACCACGAGAGUUUGUAACACCCGAAG
rnacentral:rRNA from 1 species